CGGAGGCAGGAACUUGAGAACCCAAGCAGAAGAAGCUAGCAAACUUCUUACCGUUGGUCUGGCGCAUUCUAAAACCGGUAACAAAACAAUUUGAGGGGAAAAAAAUGAAAAGCCAAGCAAGCAAAAUGUAAGGAAAAAAAGUGGAUUAAAAUGUAUGUUUCUUGAGUCUUAACUACCGCACACGUGCACAUACAGACACACACAGAAACAAAUAACGCAGUACAGAGAAAAAUGUGCAGUUCUUAGUGGAAAUUCUAAACGAGCAAAGCGAUUAAACAACAACAGCCGAUAUUGUAGUACUAAAACAAUAUCUUGUGUACUUAAAUAAGUACUUACAUGCAUUUGUAUUGUAGUUGUAGCGGCAGAUAUGGAGGUGGAAAAUUGAAAAUUAAAAGGCGUUACAUUUUCCAACUUGAAGGAAUGAACAGUUUGUUAGGGUGAAUAUAUUGCAAAGGUGUUUUGAAAUCAGACAAGAAAGGUGUAGCAUUAAGAAACAGUAA